rnacentral:rRNA from 1 species
AUUGAACGCUGGCGGCGUGCCUAACACAUGCAAGUCGAGCGGUAACAGGUGUAGCAAUACAUGCUGACGAGCGGCGAACGGGUGAGUAAUGCUUCGGAAUCUACCCAAUGGUGGGGAAUAACCAGCCGAAAGGUUGGCUAAUACCGCAUACGUCCCACGGGAGAAAGCAGGGGAUCGCAAGACCUUGCGCCAAUGGAUGAGCCGAAGUCGGAUUAGCUAGNGGUAGGGUAACGGCCUACCAAGGCGACGAUCCGUAGCUGGUCUGAGAGGACGACCAGCCACACUGGGACUGAGACACGGCCCAGACUCCUACGGGAGGCAGCAGUGGGGAAUAUUGGACAAUGGGGGGAAACCCGUGAUCCAGCGACGCCGCGUGUGUGAAGAAGGCCUGCGGGUU